rnacentral:rRNA from 1 species
UACAGAGGUCCCAAGCGUUGUUCGGAUUCACUGGGCGUAAAGGGUGCGUAGGCGGUCGGGUAAGUCUGAUGUGAAAUCUCACAGCUUAACUGUGAAACUGCAUUGGAUACUAUCCGGCUCGAGGAAUGGAGGGGAGACUGGAAUACUUGGUGUAGCGGUGAAAUGCGUAGAUAUCAGGAGGAACACCUGUGGCGAAAGCGGCUCACUGGACCAUUACUGACGCUGAGGCACGAAAGCUAGGGGAGCAAACAGG